rnacentral:rRNA from 1 species
AAUUGGAGGGCAAGUCUGGUGCCAGCAGCCGCGGUAAUUCCAGCUCCAAUAGCGUAUAUUAAAGUUGUUGCAGUUAAAAAGCUCGUAGUUGAAUUUCGGGAUUGACGUGAUGGUCGUGCCUUAAGGGGUAUGAACUGUUGCUGUUGAUUUCUCACCUUCUGGAGAAACUUGAUGUCCUUAAUUGGGUGUCUUGCGGAUCCAGGACCUUUACCUUGAAAAAAUUAGAGUGUUUAAAGCAGGCAUUUUGCUCGAAUACAUUAGCAUGGAAUAAUAGAAUAGGACGGCAUGGUUCUAUUUUGUUGGUUUCUAGGAUCACCGUAAUGAUUAAUAGGGAUAGUUGGGGGCAUUAGUAUUCAAUUGUCAGAGGUGAAAUUCUUGGAUUUAUUGAAGACUAACUACUGCGAAAGCAUUUGCCAAGGAUGUUUUCAUUAAUCAAGAGCGAAAGUUAGGGGAUCGAAGACGAUCAGAUACCGUCGUAGUCUUAACCAUAAACUAUGCCGACUAGGAAUCAGACGAUGUUAAUUUUUUAAUGACUCGUUUGGCACCUUACGGGAAACCAAAGUGU